GGCUCGUUAGCUCAGUUGGUUAGAGCACCACGCUGCAAAAGUGGAGGUCGUGGGUUCGAAUCCCACAUGAGCCC